UACGUAGGGUGCGAGCGUUAAUCGGAAUUACUGGGCGUAAAGCGUGCGCAGGCGGCUUUGUAAGCCAGAUGUGAAAUCCCCGGGCUUAACCUGGGAAUGGCAUUUGGGACUGCAAGGCUGGAGUGUGGCAGAGGAGACUGGAAUUCCUGGUGUAGCAGUGAAAUGCGUAGAUAUCAGGAGGAAUACCGAUGGCGAAGGCAGGUCUCUGGGCUGACACUGACGCUCAUGCACGAAAGCGUGGGGAGCAAACAGG
rnacentral:rRNA from 1 species